AACGGGGGGGGACAAGCGUCAUUCGUCAGGACUGGGUGUAAAGGAUCUGUAGAUUGCCACGAGACAGUUUGGAAACGAAACGCUUUAGGCUCAACCUUUUGAGGUUUCCUCAAAACAGAACUCGUUGCGUCUUUGAGUUAUGAUGGGAAGGUUAAAAGUUACUUUAAAGCUUGAAAGGAUUAGGAAACUUUGUUCGAACAGAU
rnacentral:rRNA from 1 species